UGAGUACGAGAUGCUACGGCAUCGAAGCAGUCUAUGUCAUACUUCCAAGAAAAGCUUGCACUGUCAUAAACAAAGAAUGCCUGUACCAUAACCGACACAGGUGGGUAGGUAGAGUAUACUAAGGGGCGCGAGAUAACUCUCUCUAAGGAACUCGGCAAAAUGACUCCGUAACUUCGGGAGAAGGAGUGCCUUAUUUCUAAGGUUGCAAUAACAAGAUCCAAGCAACUGUUUACCAAAAACACAGGUCUCCGCUAAGUCGUAAGACGAUGUAUGGGGGCUGACGCCUGCCCAGUGCCAGAAGGUUAAAGAAGUUGGUUAGCAUUAGCGAAGCUGAUAACUGAAGCCCUGGUGAACGGCGGCCGUAACAAUAACGGUCCUAAGGUAGCGAAAUUCCUUGUCGGGUAAGUUCCGACCCGCACGAAAGGCGUAAUGAUUUGGAUACUGUCUCGGAGAGGGGCUCGGUGAAAUAGACUUGUCUGUGAAGAUGCGGACUACCUGCACCUGGACAGAAAGACCCUAUGAAGCUUUACUGUAACUUGAGAUUGAAAUUGGACUUUAUUUGCGCAGUAUAGGUGGGAGGCGUUGAGAAUAAUCUUGCGGGAUUGUUGGAGCCAUCAGUGAGAUACCACUCUUGUAAUGUUAGAUUUCUAACUUUGUAUCAUUAUCUGGUCAAAGAACAGUUUCAGGCGGGCAGUUUGACUGGGGCGGUCGCCUCCCAAAGGGUAACGGAGGCGCACAAAGGUUUCCUCUGAACGGGUAGAAAUCGUAUCUAGAGUGUAAAGGCAUAAGGAAGCUUGACUGUGAGACCUACAAGUCGAGCAGGGACGAAAGUCGGUCUUAGUGAUCUGACGGUGCUGAGUGGAAAGGCCGUCACUCAACGGAUAAAAGUUACUCUAGGAUAACAGGCUGAUCUCCCCCAAGAGUUCACAUCGACGGGGAGGUUUGGCACCUCGAUGUCGGCUCAUCGCAUCCUGGGGCGGUAGUCCGUCCCAAGGGUUGGGCUGUUCGCCCAUGAAAGCGGUACGCGAGCUGGGUUCAGAACGUCGUGAGACAGUUCGGUCCAUAUCCGGUGUAGGCGUUAGAAUAUUGAGAGGAGCCUUCUCUAGUACGAGAGGACCGAGAAGGACAUACCUCUGGCGUACCAGUUAUCGUGCCAACGGUAAACGCUGGGUAGCUAUGUAUGGAGUGGAUAACCGCUGAAAGCAUCUAAGUGGGAAGCCCACCUCAAGAUAAGUAUUCUC
rnacentral:rRNA from 1 species